AGUGAACGCUGGCGGUAGGCCUAACACAUGCAAGUCGAACGGCAGCACAGUAAGAGCUUGCUCUUACGGGUGGCGAGUGGCGGACGGGUGAGGAAUACAUCGGAAUCUACUUUUUCGUGGGGGAUAACGUAGGGAAACUUACUCUAAUACCGCAUACGACCUACGGGUGAAAGCAGGGGAUCUUCGGACCUUGCGCGAUUGAAUGAGCCGAUGUCGGAUUAGCUAGUUGGCGGGGUAAAGGCCCACCAAGGCGACGAUCCGUAGCUGGUCUGAGAGGAUGAUCAGCCACACUGGAACUGAGCCACGGUCCAGACUCCUACGGGAGGCAGCAGUGGGGAAUAUUGGACAAUGGGCGCAAGCCUGAUCCAGCCAUACCGCGUGGGUGAAGAAGGCCUUCGGGUUGUAAAGCCCUUUUGUUGGGAAAGAAAAGCAGCAGGUUAAUACCCCGCUGUUCUGACGGUACCCAAAGAAUAAGCACCGGCUAACUUCGUG
rnacentral:rRNA from 1 species